CUACGGGCGGCAGCAGUGAGGAAUAUUGCACAAUGGGGGGAACCCUGAUGCAGCAACGCCGCGUGGAGGAUGACGCAUUUCGGUGUGUAAACUCCUUUUAUAUGUCAAGAAAAUGACGGUAGCAUAUGAAUAAGCACCGGCUAACUCCGUGCCAGCAGCCGCGGUAAUACGGAGGGUGCAAGCGUUACUCGGAAUCACUGGGCGUAAAGGACGCGUAGGCGGGUUGGUAAGGCAGGUGUGAAAUCCUACAGCUUAACUGUAGAACUGCACUUGAAACUUCUAAUCUAGAGUAUGGGAGGGGGAGAUGGAAUUAGUGGUGUAGGGGUAAAAUCCGUAGAUAUCACUAGGAAUACCUAAAGCGAAGGCGAUCUCCUGGAACAUUACUGACGCUAAGGCGUGAAAGCGUGGGGAGCAAACAGGAUUAGAUACCCUUGUAGUC
rnacentral:rRNA from 1 species